AUUGAACGCUGGCGGCAUGCUUUACACAUGCAAGUCGAACGGCAGCAUGGGUGCUUGCACCUGAUGGCGAGUGGCGAACGGGUGAGUAACGUAUCGGAACGUAUCCGGAAAUGGGGGAUAACGUAGCGAAAGUUACGCUAAUACCGCAUAUGCCCUGAGGGGGAAAGGUGGGGAUCGCAAGACCUAUCGUUUUCGGAGCGGCCGAUAUCAGAUUAGCUUGUUGGUGAGGUAAAGGCGCACCAAGGCGACGAUCUGUAGCUGGUCUGAGAGGACAACCAGCCACACUGGGACUGGGACACGGCCCAGACUCCUACGGGAGGCAGCAGUGGGGAAUUUUGGACAAUGGGGGCAACCCUGAUCCAGCCAUGCCGCGUGAGUGAAGAAGGCCUUCGGGUUGUAAAGCUCUUUCGGACAGAAAGAAAUCGCACUUACUAAUACUAGGUGUGGAUGACGGUACUGUAAGAAGAAGCACCGGCUAACUACGUGCCAGCCGCCGCCGUAA
rnacentral:rRNA from 1 species